CGCUGAUGAUGCGAAGGUUUUGGGUCCGUUUAGCGAAGAUAUGGAUCCCUCCCCCUUACACGCGCGUUUUCGAGGCUUGGGAGAUGAACAGUUCCUCGCUAAAUGCUAAACUGAUCGCGUGAAUGCUGACGACGCGAAGGUUUUGAGUCCGUUUAGCGAAGAUUCGGAUCCCUCUCCCUCACGCACGCGUUUUCGAGGCUCGGGAGAUGAACAGUUCCUUGCUGAAUGCUAAUCUGAUCGCGUGAAUACUGACGAUCGACGCGAAGGUUUUGAGUCCGUUUAGCCAAGAUAUGGAUCCCUCUCCCUCACGCACGCGUUUUCGAGGCUUGGGAGAUGAUGGGUUCCGCGCUGCACGUCAAACUGAUCGCGUGGGUACCAAAUGCGCGAAGGUUUUGACUCCGUUCAGCGAGAUAGCGAUUGCAUUACAGACUCGCGGGUUCGUGGUGCUUCGGAGGUGAAAGAUUCCUUCCCUGAACGCAAAACUAACGCCGCUGAGGAAAUAUAACGAGCAGCAAAAACAUUCGCCCUGCCUUCGCCUCUCAGCUGACAUCGCCACGGGUAGAAACAGCCAGCUAGAAAAAAAAAAAAAAAAAAAAAAAAGAAAUAGCCCAUUGUUUUCCGCGAAGGCUGAGUUCGCGAUGAGGCCGCGCAACGUGAAUUCCGCGUAAAUAACAAUAAUACUCGUCACGUCCAGUUAGCGAUGGAAGUGAAACGCGCGUAAUAAGAUUUUUUUUAAAGCCACUUUCUUUCAAAACUUAUUGUUUGGUCUAACAUAAAGCGAGAUACCUCUCUGGCCAACUGUUCCACGUUAGUUUGUUAGUUAGUUAGUUUGAAGAGAGAUCCGUGGAAAGGUGUGGCGGGUUUGGCUGACUGACUAAGGUAAGAAGAACGUUUUCCAUGCUACACACACACACUCACUUUCACUCACUCACACACACACACACACACACACACACACACACACACACAGGGUUAAUAUUAGCUGCCAUCUGAUCGGUUUGCCUACAGAUAAAGUCUAAUCCAAGAAAUAGCUCUUACCAAAAUACAGUAUAUAUAUAAUAUUGUCAUAGAAUAUUUAUAAUCCUGUCACAACGUGUGCUUAUGGGCUAACAAGGGAUUAAAGGGGUGAUUUAACAUAGACUUUCCCAUUAUAAUUUAUCUCUUCAACAGCAACAGUAAUUAACACGUUUGGGUCAAGUAGUUGUGGCGAGUUGUGAAGGGGGGGGCUGCCUGCUGUACCCUUCCCCCCUCCCUUCCCUUCCCUCCCCUCUCUGGCCUAUUUCCAUCCUCCUCUCUUCUCUUCCUCUUCCUCUUCCUCGUUCCCAUAUCCAACUUCCUGUCCUGUCUAUACCUUUCUUUCAGGUCUCUCUCUCUCUCUCUCUCUCUCUCUCUCUCUCUCUCUCUCUCUCUCUCUCUCUCUCUCU